rnacentral:rRNA from 1 species
AGUCGAGGGGUAUAUUUCUUCGGAGAUAGAGACCGGCGCACGGGUGCGUAACGCGUAUGCAAUCUGCCUUUCACAGAGGGAUAGCCCAGAGAAAUUUGGAUUAAUACCUCAUAGUAUUAUGGAGUGGCAUCACUUUAUAAUUAAAGUCACAACGGUGAAAGAUGAGCAUGCGUCCCAUUAGCUAGUUGGUAAGGUAACGGCUUACCAAGGCAACGAUGGGUAGGGGUCCUGAGAGGGAGAUCCCCCACACUGGUACUGAGACACGGACCAGACUCCUACGGGAGGCAGCAGUGAGGAAUAUUGGACAAUGGGCGCAAGCCUGAUCCAGCCAUGCCGCGUGCAGGAUGACGGUCCUAUGGAUUGUAAACUGCUUUUGUACGAGAAGAAACAUCCCGACGUGUCGGGACUUGACGGUAUCGUAAGAAUAAGGAUCGGCUAACUCCGUGCCAGCAGCCGCGGUAAUACGGAGGAUCCAAGCGUUAUCCGGAAUCAUUGGGUUUAAAGGGUCCGUAGGCGGUUUAGUAAGUCAGUGGUGAAAGCCCAUCGCUCAACGGUGGAACGGCCAUUGAUACUGCUGAACUUGAAUUACUGGGAAGUAACUAGAAUAUGUAGUGUAGCGGUGAAAUGCUUAGAUAUUACAUGGAAUACCAAUUGCGAAGGCAGGUUACUACCAGUUGAUUGACGCUGAUGGACGAAAGCGUGGGGAGCGAACAGGAUUAGAUACCCUGGUAGUCCACGCCGUAAACGAUGGAUACUAGCUGUUGGGAGCAAUCUCAGUGGCUAAGCGAAAGUGAUAAGUAUCCCACCUGGGGAGUACG